AAGACCUUGCGCUUUUGGAGCGGCCGAUGCCUGAUUAGCUUGUUGGUAAGGUAAAGGCUUACCAAGGCUUCGAUCAGUAGCUGGUCUGAGAGGACGGCCAGCCACACUGGGACUGAGACACGGCCCAGACUCCUACGGGAGGCAGCAGUGGGGAAUUUUGGACAAUGGGGGAAACCCUGAUCCAGCCAUGCCGCGUGAGUGAAGAAGGCCUUCAGGUUGUAAAGCUCUUUCAGCCGGAACGAAACGGUUACGGAUAAUACCCGUGACUACUGACGGUACCGGAAGAAGAAGCACCGGCUAACUACGUGCCAGCAGCCGCGGUAAUACGUAGGGUGCGAGCGUUAAUCGGAAUUACUGGGCGUAAAGCGUGCGCAGGUGGUUUUGUAAGUCAGAUGUGAAAGCCCCGGGCUCAACCUGGGAACU
rnacentral:rRNA from 1 species